rnacentral:ncRNA from 1 species
ACAGUGAUGUUAGGGCUAAAGGAAGCGUGGAACAAAAUCGUGGACCAACGAACAGAAACAUAUUAUAAGGCUAUAUAGGUGGAUAAGGUUGCCAAACAAACUGAAAUCCAAAAGAUACCCGUAACCCUAUGUGGUAUAAAUG